rnacentral:rRNA from 1 species
UGUGGUUACAUACCAUGCUACUAAAGCUAAACAUCUUCAAAGCUGUUAUACCCACACGAAGACAGGAAAUCCUUCUACGAAAGUGGCUUUAAAUAAUGCUACCCACGAAAACUAGGAAAC